AUUGAACGCUGGCGGCAUGCUUUACACAUGCAAGUCGAACGGUAACAGGCCGCAAGGUGCUGACGAGUGGCGAACGGGUGAGUAAUGCAUCGGAACGUGCCCAGUCGUGGGGGAUAACUACUCGAAAGAGUAGCUAAUACCGCAUACGAUCUAUGGAUGAAAGCGGGGGACCGUAAGGCCUCGCGCGAUUUGAGCGGCCGAUGUCAGAUUAGGUAGUUGGUGGGGUAAAGGCUCACCAAGCCAACGAUCUGUAGCUGGUCUGAGAGGACGACCAGCCACACUGGGACUGAGACACGGCCCAGACUCCUACGGGAGGCAGCAGUGGGGAAUUUUGGACAAAGGGCGCAAGCCUGAUCCAGCAAUGCCGCGUGCAGGAAGAAGGCCUUCGGGUUGUAAACUGCUUUUGUACGGAACGAAACGGCUCUGGUUAAUACCCGGGGCUAAUGACGGUACCGUAAGAAUAAGCACCGGCUAACUACGUG
rnacentral:rRNA from 1 species